rnacentral:rRNA from 1 species
CCUACGGGUGGCAGCAGUGGGGAAUAUUGCACAAUGGGGGAAACCCUGAUGCAGCGACGCCGCGUGAGUGUAGAAGCAAUUCGUUAGGUAAAGCUCUAUCAGCAGGGAAGAAAAUGACGGUACCUGAGUAAGAAGCCCCGGCUAACUACGUGCCAGCAGCCGCGGUAAUACGUAGGGGGCAAGCGUUAUCCGGAUUUACUGGGUGUAAAGGGAGCGUAGAGGGCAGGGGAAGUCUGGGGUGAAAGGGGGGGGCGAAACCCCGCGACGGGCUGUGAAACGGUUCGGGUGGGAGGGCGGGAGGGGUAGGAGGAAUGCGGGGUGUAGCGGUGAAAUGCUUAGAGAUCGCGGAGAA